GUACAACAUCGCAAAAACAGUCCAGUCCUUAAGGGGUUAAAACAAAUUUGCAUGUUAUGAUAUAAACAUAUGUAUUUGGGUUUUUAGCUUUAGGAAUAGUUUUUACAUGCAUUUUAAACAUACCACAAAGUCCCUAUAUGAAACAAAAAUACAUUUCAUGAUUUGUAAAUAUCACGCAUUUGUGCUUAUCAUAAUUUUUUUAUUCUAUUUGAUCUUGCAGGAGUCUGUGGAGACUGGAAGAACUAUUUUACUGUUGCCCAGAAUGAAAUAUUUGAUGAUGUUUAUCAAGAACAAAUGAAAGAUUUAAAUACUAAACUAUUUUGGGAUGAGAACUAACAUGUUCCACUAAAGGGCAGUUAAAUUUUUUUGUGGUUUUCAUUUAAAGAAAGUACAGAUAAUCAUUAUGAAAGAAAUUAAAGAAAGUGACAUUCUGAGUUACAGGCUACUUUACCAAGUGUAUUUUAGUAUGUAAUAUUUAGGCAAUAUUAUGAUAAAUUUGUUUCAAAUCUGAAUGUGUUUCCUGUUAUUUAAUUGAGGAG